CCCUUAGAUGUUCUGGGCUGCACGCGCGCUACACUGAUGCGAUCAACAAGUUUUUCCUAUGUCGAUAGACACGGGUAAUCUUUUGAACUCGCAUCGUGAUGGGGAUAGAUUAUUGUAAUUAUUAAUCUUCAACGAGGAAUUCCUAGUAGAUGCAAAUCAUCAGUUUGCAUCGAUUACGUCCCUGCCCUUUGUACACACCGCCCGUCGCUGCUACCGAUUGGUUGAUCUGGUGAAUUAUUCGGACUGCCGGCUGAAGGGGUUUCCUCAUCUGCCAGCGGAAAGUCUUGUUAACCCUAUCAACUAGAGGAAGCAGAAGUCGUAACA
rnacentral:rRNA from 1 species